rnacentral:misc_RNA from 1 species
AACUUUCGACAACGGAUCUCUUGGCUCUCGCAUCGAUGAAGAACGCAGCGAAAUGCGAUAAGUAAUGUGAAUUGCAGAAUUAUGUGAACCAUCGAAUCUUUGAACGCACAUUGCGCCCUUUGGUAUUCCGAAGGGCAUGCCUGUCCGAGCGUCAUUAUCAACCAUCAAGCCCGGCUUGUCAGUUGGGCCCUGGCCGUCAGGCGGCAGGCCCGAAAGUCAGUGACGGCGUCGAGAUCGACCCCAGAUGCAGCGAGCUUUUUGAGCAGCAUCGCGGUGGUCGGCGGGCCUCGUCUUAACCAUAUCUUCUCAAGGUUGACCUCGGAUCAGGUAGGGAUACCCGCUGAACUUAAGCAUAUCAAUAAGCGGAGGCU